ACUCAAAUGAAUAGACGGGGGCCCGCACAAGCAGUGGAUCAUGUGGUUUAAUUCGAAGCAACGCGAAGAACCUUACCUGGGUUUGACAUCCUCUGACAGUCGUAGAAAUACGAUCUCGGUAGCAAUACCGCAGAGAGACAGGUGCUGCAUGGCUGUCGUCAGCUCGUGUGGUGACAUGUUGGGUUAAGUCCCGCAACGAGCGCAACCCUUGUUCUUAGUUGCCAUCAUUAAGUUGGGCACUCUAAGGAGACUGCCGUGGUUAACACGGAGGAAGGUGGGGAUGACGUCAAGUCCUCAUGGCCCUUAUAUCCAGGGCGACACACGUGAUACAAUGGAUGGUACAGAGGGAAGCAAAGGGGUGACCCCAAGCCAAUCUCAAAAAACCAUUCUCAGUUCGGAUUGGAGUCUGCAAUUCGACUCCAUGAAGGUGGAAUUGCUAGUAAUCGCGGAUCAGAACGCCGCGGUGAAUACGUUCCCGGGCCUUGUACACACCGCCCGU
rnacentral:rRNA from 1 species